rnacentral:ncRNA from 2 species
AAGUUGUAACAAGGUUUCCGUAGGU